CACCUCUCAGGGGCACACCUGGAGAGUUUCCAGUACUCAACCAGUUCUGGAUACAGGAGGGAGUCAAGCAGAGACCUAUCCAUUCCAUUCCUAGCUUGGCCAGUGGCUAGUGAGUGGAAGGCAAUCUGUUACAAGU